GCCGCCGCGCGCCUGGCGCGGCAGGGCCGGGCCGCCUCGCGGCGGCGCCGGACGGUGAUGGCCGCCGGCGCCGCGGGGGUCGCCUCCCUGGCCGCCGUG
rnacentral:tRNA from 1 species